AAAGCAGUAAGGGGGAGUGUUACCUUCAAAAGAGGUAAGGGGGGAGUGUUACAUAAAAAAGAGGUAAGGGGGGAGUGUUAC